rnacentral:lncRNA from 1 species
AGGAACUUUGUCUGCUGAAGUGUUUGGCACUGAAUACUUUGGGCUUCAUCUUCAAUUACUAGAAAAGUUGGAAGUAGUGUGGCUCCUCUUUUAAUGGCUGUAGUGGGUCUACAAAUAGAGCUCAAGGGGUUAGCUCACUGAACAGAUAUUUGGCUCUUUUCAACUGAAUAACAAGGACUAGGUAAGUUACAAUGAUAAAUGAUUCUUUCCAGUUUCAUAUU